rnacentral:rRNA from 1 species
AACGAACGCUGGCGGCAUGCCUAACACAUGCAAGUCGAACGAGACCUUCGGGUCUAGUGGCGCACGGGUGCGUAACGCGUGGGAACCUGCCCUUAGGUUCGGAAUAACUCCCCGAAAGGGGUGCUAAUACCGGAUAAUGUCUUCGGACCAAAGAUUUAUCGCCUUUGGAUGGGCCCGCGUUGUAUUAGCUAGUUGGUAGUGUAAAAGCCUACCAAGGCGACGAUCCAUAGCUGGUAUGAGAGGAUGAUCAGCCACACUGGGACUGAGACACGGCCCAGACUCCUACGGGAGGCAGCAGUGGGGGAUAUUGGACAAUGGGCGAAAGCCUGAUCCAGCAAUGCCGCGUGAGUGAUGAAGGCCUUAGGGUUGUAAAGCUCUUUUACCCGGGAUGAUAAUGACAGUACCGGGAGAAUAAGCUCCGGCUAACUCCGUG